GGACGAACGCUGGCGGCGUGCCUAAUACAUGCAAGUCUAAGGGGGUUGGUUCCUUCGGGAGCCAAUUCACUGGCGCACGGGUGAGUAACGCGUAAAUCAUCUACCCCUGGGUCUGGCAUAACAUCGGGAAACCGGUGCUAAUUCCAGAUGACACCGAGAGGUCAAAGCUUUGGCGCCCAGGGAUGAGUUUGCGUCUGAUUAGCUAGUUGGCGGGGUAACGGCCCACCAAGGCGACGAUCAGUAGCCGGUCUGAGAGGAUGAUCGGCCACAUUGGGACUGAGACACGGCCCAGACUCCUACGGGAGGCAGCAGUAAGGAAUAUUGCGCAAUGGACGAAAGUCUGACGCAGCAACGCCGCGUGCAGGAUGAAGGCCCUUUGGGUUGUAAACUGCUGUAGCGAGGGGAAUAAGACUGCUCUUAGAGCAGGUGAAGGUACCCUGAAGUAAGCGCCGGCUAACUACGUGCCAGCCGCCGC
rnacentral:rRNA from 1 species